GAAAAAAAAAAGAUUUGGCCAGUUUUGAAUCGGAAUCGAAACUGAACCGGCCUUAACUUGCACCCAACCCAGAACUGGAAUCAAAACUGGAACAAAAACUCAUAAAAUGGAUGGGGUAGAUUGCUAUUUUGGGCAUAUUUUGUUUCUAAAUAUUAGUAAAAAACUCAUAAAAUGACUGCUGGGAUGGAUAGUUGAUUAAAAAUAGUUGGUAACUGGAAUCUUUACUAAAAUU
rnacentral:misc_RNA from 1 species